rnacentral:rRNA from 1 species
UUCUUGGUGCCCCAGGCGCAGAGGACCCACACCAAACCAUCCCGAACUUGGUGGUGAAACUCUGUUGCGGUGACAAUACUUUAGGGGAAGCCCUAGGGGAAAAUAGCUCGGUGCCAAGUGCAAUCCAUCCCAACUG